CCCUUUUGUGUAGCGCCGUUUAUUUAGUCGAUAGAAUAGUGAUUUUGAAUUAUAUAUCGCAUCAUCCUAUAUUCUGCAAUUAUAUUUAUGAAUGAUCAGUUAUGCUAGAAUGAAUAUCGUAUCAUUUUGUUUUGUGCAAACCUAUUAAUAUUAAUUCAAUAAUUGUAUUUUAAGUACGAUAGCAGUUGACGUUGAGCUUCCAGUGAGGCUGUGACUCAGUCUCGACUCUCGGCUAGAUAAAUCAUAAUGGCAGGAUUGGCAAGAAACUGGAGAUUCCUUCAACGAACUAUGCCAGAUGAUGCUCACUACUUGCAUGAAGAUUAUCAACCACCACCGGCAACACCAAGCAGCAAAAUAAAUUUAGAAGAAAGAUUUGGGUUGCAGAAUGCAUCUGGACCUGGACCUGCCUUCUUGCCAGACUACGAAAAUUGGAAAUCUGUCAGAAACAAAAAUAUAGAUAAUGUGAGCAGCUUGGAGAAAAUUUAUGAGAAUCAGCAAGAGAUGUUGGAAGAUGCAAUGCAGUGCGAGUCAAGUGUGGAGCCUCCUCCACUACCUCCACGCAACACUCCAGGCCGUCGUAACCCUCACUUCAACACCACCAUCAACAUUGAUGCCAGCACCAACAUUGUUCCACAGUCCAUCAACACCACGAUCUGCGCCCCGCCAAUUGAUAUUGAUGACUAUAACAACUGGCAUGAACAAGCUAUGCUGAUGGAGGACCAAGAAGAGGAAUGUCAGGGUGUACGAGGAGCUCUGAAGUACCAAUCAAAGUCGUCAUCUGCUCUGCGGCAGUUCUCUGUAUUCCAGCCUUUCUCAAACCUUUCGCAUAAACGUGGUAAUUUGAACCAAACCUUUGCUGCUGGUGAAGAUGUGUACACCAACAUUACUGAAGCAACUCCUCACAAGCAGUCUUUUAAGAACAACCAUUCAAGCAUUGCCCCACUGUGGCACAGAUUGCAUCCUGAAAAGGAAAACAAAAUCAACUCUGGCAAAUUUUUCAAGUUUGGCGGACAUCGUUUGUCUCAGGCUGUUCAAGGUUGUCGAACUGCCAUUGCAAGUAUUUCACAGAAAUUCAAGACUUCAACGCAGCGGCGCUACAAACUCGACCCAAACAGUCCACGAGGAAGCAGCUAUGCUACACCACCACGGGGCUCCAUACGCCGCACUCCUGGCAAGCUCUACAGUCCCUUCAACUGCAGCACUCCGCCCCCACCUCGUGGUUACGAGACCAAGAGGCUGCAGCAUAGACCCAUCAGGUCUGGCCUAGAAGGAAGAAUCAUGAGGACGCCACAGGGACGACUGCUGCGGUCACCUGGUCGAGCCACUCGUGGCAACCUGAGCGUCUCUUUCUCUGGCGAUCAUCAGACGAGCGUGCACAGCAGACUGGGUCCUCUUUCUCAUGCUGGGACGGCGGGCACCUCGCACUGCCAGCCUACCAUGGAGGAUGUGCUUGAAGAAAGAGACCCUCCACCGUACCCUGGCCAACCACUCCAUCGCCACCAGUGGAGCAGCUUCCAGUCUCCCCACCGUGUAGGAGGUCCUGGAGUUGUCCCGUCAGCCUACCGCCCCACUGACGUUCACCACCGCACCGCACACAGUGUGGACCUCUUAGGAGAAGAACCUAGUGCCUACAAGCGGCACAUGGUAGAGUUUGAUCAGCUGAGCAGGAACAUCACUGUCAGCCUCAACAGGGGAUCUAAAUUCAGGAACUCAAUCCGUUGAGGUAGAAAUAAACUCGAUGUGAACACACUGCCCUUGAGAUUUUGCCAUCAGUGGAUAUAAAUUAUGUAACUUUAUUCAUCAUCCUGGGAACAAAAAUUAAUUUACUAACUCAUAUUACAUCUUAGCUUUAUGUUCAUGUAUUCUUUACUUUGGUUUUAUUCUACGUUAUUUGAUGGAUAAUUACGUCUUUGCAAGUAAGAUAAGUUUUCGAUUAUCUGUGCUCGUUCUGGUAAUCUGUAUGAUCUUCUAUGAAGUAAUUGCUUUUAUCUUGAAGAGACUGGCUCAAAUUCCGGCAUAUUCAAUUUACAAAUAAAGAACUUUCGUCUGAAAUUCACCGUAUACGAUAUUGAUUCAGCACUAUUUUGAUUACUUUUUUUAGGAUUGUAAGGUUAUUGAUAAUUUCACUAAUAUUUGCUUAAGAUGCUAGCUGAUAUUUUAUUGAUAAUUUAUGUUCAUGGUCAGUUUGAAGUAAGCAUUACUUCGUUAAUAAUAGUUCUAUUACUACGUAUAAUAUUCUACUUGGAGUCAAAGAAGAGGCAUUCUUCCAUGACACUUUGUCUCAAAUGUUGAGCUAGUCUUCUGAUAGAAUUACAAGUCGUUAACACUGCGUUGUCUCAUGUUCCAGCCUUAUUAGCGUCUGCAGAAUAUUUUAUAAUAAAUGUUUUAUAAUAUAUAGCAGGUCAUUAUUUUUUAUGGGAUCAAAUGGUAGCCUGGUAUCCACUGUUACGUCAGUGCUCGUAUCAUUUUUAAUAUUGCCCACUCCUGCAUUUAUAAAUUACAACAUAGAGACGGGGAGAGUUGUACGUAAAUUUCACCUGCAACACAUGCACCUUACGAUUUUGUGAACGUAAUAAUUUUUUUAGUAUUAUCCAGUUAAGUAUGCAUGAUAAUAUUUAAAUUUUUAAUCUUAAUUUAUACGUAAUGGCCAAUUCCAUUUGCUGUUAGCAUUAUCAGUUUAACUAGAACGACAUAUUUAAAAAUGUACCUACUAGAAUUUUAUUUUUGUAUUGCAGUUUCUGCUCUAAAUCCAGUAUUACAUCGCCUCGCGGAAUCUCUAACACGGCUGCCAAAGUUACUUGUAUUUUUGAAGCUUGCUUUUGUGUGCAAGUUUACAGCUUAUAGGUUUUCCACAUUUAUACAUCAGUGUUAGGUUUUUUGUACGAGCUUUGAUCAGUAUUAAGUAUAAAACUAAGGUACGAUCCCGAUCAUCAUUAAGGUAUUAAGGUAUGUGCUUUUAUGAUUAUUAAACAAACUUCUGGUACGAAGCUUGUUAAUUUUUAAGAUAUCAUCCAUUUAGUUAUCUGUGCAGCUAAAAUAUUUGUUCAACACAGCAUUUGUAGCAGCUUUUUUUUUCUCAAUGCGAAUGUUUUGUUUGGGAAAUAUGACUUUUUUUUGUAAGGAUCGCUGGUUUCUUCAGCGAGUUACCUAUUUAUCGUUGUAAGCUUCUUGGCUGGAUGAGAAAUAGUUGAGUUUUACUGAUGUGCUUUCGGAAUUUUCUCCAAGAUUAGGAGAAAGAUGGCCUUAACCUCCCUUUUUAUGUUAUUAGACGAGUUUUCUGUUCGUUUGUAUUUAAUGUAUCGCUGUAUUUUUACCAGUAAUAGAUUUUGACAUUGGGUUA